GAUGAACGCUGGCGGCGUGCCUAAUACAUGCAAGUCGAGCGAACAGACGAGGAGCUUGCUCCUCUGACGUUAGCGGCGGACGGGUGAGUAACACGUGGAUAACCUACCUAUAAGACUGGGAUAACUUCGGGAAACCGGAGCUAAUACCGGAUAAUAUAUUGAACCGCAUGGUUCAAUAGUGAAAGACGGAUUUGCUGUCACUUAUAGAUGGAUCCGCGCCGCAUUAGCUAGUUGGUAAGGUAACGGCUUACCAAGGCAACGAUGCGUAGCCGACCUGAGAGGGUGAUCGGCCACACUGGAACUGAGACAGGGUCCAGACUCCUACGGGAGGCAGCAGUAGGGAAUCUUCCGCAAUGGGCGAAAGCCCGACGGAGCAACGCCGCGUGAGUGAUGAAGGUCUUCGGAUCGUAAAACUCUGUUAUUAGGGAAGAACAAAUGUGUAAGUAACUAUGCACGUCUUGACGGUACCUAAUCAGAAAGCCACGGCUAACUACGUG
rnacentral:rRNA from 1 species